AUGUCCGGGAGAUGAGGCUAGUAUCGGAACCUUCGGCCUCAGACGGAGGACGUGGCGUGGCGGCACAGCCCACUUUUCCCUUGCAAGGGAGAGCCACCUUCUCUUGUCCCUUCGUACGGUAAGAAGGCUGGUGUAAUUGGUUUCUUGUAACACAAAGCAGGAAUGUGGGCGGUGAGCUGAUGUGCUGCACCUCGCCUUGUGGGGGUCUGGGACUCUGGGAGUACGCUGCACACUACGUAGUGUGGGACUACGCCAACCUGUCCCUUACCCUGUCCUAUCGCAUACACAAUACACACACGGGUAUGUUCCCCUGCAAAACACACACUUUCAAUUAUUCGCAGUGUAGUGUUGGCUCUCUCCUGUUGGAUUUGGGUUUUGCCCCGCCCCCGCCGGGGUACUACCAGAAUCACGCGUGUCCCUCAGGCUGGGGCCAUCAUCUAGCUCGGUGCACGCGCACCAACAAUGGUGCGCGUCACGGCCAUGUCCACGUCCUAGACAUCCAACUUACGCAUCCUAGCGCGACUCAAGCUGCCGAAGCCAUCUACGUUAGCACCUGCAACGGCCACGUCCCCCCAUCAGUAGACAGGCGCAGGAGCGAAGAAUUCUCCACAGCUGCCGCGCUAUUCCGCACCACCUGUCUAGCACGCAUGGCCCACAGCCACCAACACACAUGCUUGCCGGCUCAGCAGCCGCCGCAGUACAGCCUGCAUGGGGGCGGGGGGGGCAAGGGGGGCAGUUGUUGUUGUUGUUGUGCCUGACCCAAACCUGCCAUUCCUGCAUGCCACCCCAAACCUGCCAUUCCUGCAUGCCACCCCAAACCUGCCCCAGCCCUGACCCAAGCCUGCCCCAAACCUGCCAUCCCAAACCUGACACAAACCUGACCCGAACCUGACCUCGGCCCGCCACGACCCCCACCCGCACCCCCACCAGUGCCAACACCCCCACCAACACCAACACCAGCGCCGCCAGUUCCACUGCAGGGUUGGCAGGGCCUUAGAUUUAGAUAACUAAGGAUAUGCUUAUAUAGCUUAUAUAUAACUUAGACAUUAGACAGAGGCCCCCCGACGACCAUAGUCAACGCACGGUCAAACUAAUGUUGCUGCGGUAUAUAGCAUUAUAUAAGCUUAUCUAAUCUUACCCAAGGUUUAGACUGGGGCCAUACAUGCGGUACGCCGCCCACGUGCCAGGCCCCAGCAAGAUCCUCGCCGCGGGCCUUGAAGCCAGCGACGAGGAGCUGAUCCUGCAGCAGUGCGAGGAGGAGGAGGAGGAGCUGGGGGCGGCGGCGGCGGCGCAGCAGGCGGCGCAGCCGCGCCUGCAGCUGACGGCAGAGGGCAUGCCGUACAUUACGGAGACGGAGCCGCUCGUGGAGUGAACAAAGCGGCCGCCGCAGCGGAGCACGGACAGGAGGCUGCAGCGGAGAGGAAGCUGAGCCAGCUUGAGCAUUCACGCAUUCUUUCAUUAUAUAUGGGGGCUUGACGUAGACUGCGUGGGGUGCAUGGGGCCCCAUAUGGGGAGUCGAAUGAGGCUGAGAGCGGCUGCGGCGGCAUUGACGUGCAUGGGUUUGGGGACCGUCAGGGGCUGGAGUGCAGUGGGUCGGGCAGCACAGGCUUUCGGACUGUUGAUUACAGAAGGGGACGGAGAGAGCAACGCAUUAGACUACUUAGCAGCAAAAACGGCUCAGCCCAUGACCCACUUCUCCUUGGGACACCCCCCGUGUAAGGUGGGCCUGCCUAACUUAAAUAAGCAUAGAUAAGCAUAGAUAAGCUUAUCUAAGGCUUUGGUCCGCGCGGCUAUCUAAGGUUUUGGCCAACCCUGUUCCACUGUGGCCGCCCCUGUUCCCCGCCGCUCCACCCCCCACAGCGGCGCCGUGGUCUUUCACCCGGUGGACAGUCACGCAACGAUGACGUGUACCCUUGCGUGCACCCCGGGUUGGGGGAGGUUGGGUCUCCCUGUUCGAAGGCUGGCCGCACGCAGCGCAUUGCCCUGAGCCUGCUUCCGAUUCCACACUCCUGCCCCCCGCCCAAUGUCGCUGUGUCGCUGUGCCGAUCCUUGCCCGCCGGAGCCCCCAGCCCCACCGAGCCAUCCACUCCAGCGCCUGUCACUCCGCCACCGUAUUUAGCGCCCCCCUGCCGGGAAGGGGUAGUUGGCGACAUUCGACGACCAUAUGCAGCCCCACGCGGCGAGAAUGCGCCCGCGGAAAUGCCCAAUCUUUCUCGCCCGAUGGCCUGCCUCUGGGGGCGUUUCUUGCCGUUCCCUUAAGAUGCAAGCCCUGGCCAAGGCCCUUGCUUGCCCUAGCCGCCUCCGCCUCCAUUGCCGAACGCGGCAGGCUGCGGGAUUUCGCCGCCACCUCUAACCUCUUCCUUGGUGGCACCCCGCCAGCAGCGCGGCCGUUGCCUGCGCCAUGAGGGCACAUCAUCCCGAGCAAGGUCAGCAUUUGGCCGACACGCAAAACCCGCGCUGCUGCGAGCUCCCUCCCAACGCAGUCUCCGAACGGGAGGUGGCAGGGGUAAGAGGCGGUGGGACCCUGCUGCCAGGUGCAGAUGUAAAUGUGUUGGGCAAGUUACACAGGGCACGAGGCGACGAGGGUCAAGGCACACCAGGGCACACUGUCACGGCAGGCGAGUGCAUGCGACACACACACACACACACAAAAAAAAUACCGUAUUGCCACGCUCAAUUGGUGAUUUUAUAAUUGGUGACAGGAAGAAAUCGCGUUGGAAUUAAACAGUCUGACACAGAUUUUGGUGAUGGGCUCUGGCAGAAGCCAGGCCGAAGUACACCCGUGUCACAGAAUUGGUGAUGGGACCCCCCAAAUCGUACCCAGCGUCUCCGGCCCCGGCAGCUGCAACACAAGCCCCGCGCUUGCAGGCGCAGUCAGGCGCUAUCCAGCCAAUGUCCCACAGCUUAAGCUGCUUAGGGCCUUUGGGGGCUACACUGAGCAUUGUGCGUACACUAUUGCUUAGUAUAGGAAUAGCGUCACUAGCCAAAGCAGCCUGUUUGCGUGUUUUCGCCCGACUUGGAUUCAGAGUGCACAGGCAUUGGUGACGGGCUCUGGCAAAUCCUAGUCGACAAUGUUCCCUGCUACCAAAUUGGUGAUUUUCACCAAAUUGGUGUCACCAAUUGAGCGUGGCAGUACGGUAGAUAAACCUUCAUCCUGGGACAGCUCCGACUAACCCCCAACUAACUCGUGUACGGCACCCCAACCCCCCUCAGCCGUACAGGAGGUAGCGUGGCAGUCGGCAGCUGCGCGAGUGUGAGCAGGUAGUUGUAUGGCGGCCGGCUCGGAAGCUACCUGUAUGUAGUGACGCACACGGGCAGUUGGCGCUAGUCGACAGGCGCGCGAGUGGGAGCUGGCAGUUGAGCGCGCACGCGUGUGGGAAGCUGCGUCUGAGCACGGCGGAGCACGGCAGAGGCUGGUGGUUGGCGCGGCGCGCGAGUGGCAGUGCAUAGUCGUGCGCCGUCUGGGAAGCUGCGUGUGUGAGCUGCGUGUAAGCUCAGAGAGACGCAUGGGGCUGCCCCUGUGCCAUAAGCUGCCUCUGGGUGCAAACGCUUUCACACGGU
rnacentral:lncRNA from 1 species